rnacentral:rRNA from 1 species
GAAGGAUGACUGCCCUAUGGGUUGUAAACUUCUUUUAUAUGGGAAUAAAAUGUUCCACGUGUGGGAUUUUGUAUGUACCAUAUGAAUAAGGAUCGGCUAACUCCGUGCC